UGUGGGAGCGAGCCUGCUCGCGAUGGCGCUGUGUCAGUCAACAUCUGUGUCAACUGAUCCACCGCCAUCGCGAGCAGGCUCGCUCCCACA
rnacentral:misc_RNA from 1 species